rnacentral:lncRNA from 1 species
GGGGAUGUGUAGGUCGAGCAAGCUGUCUAGUUGGUGAAGGCAAGGCUGGGGGAUGGGCAACUCUGGUUCGUUUAUCGGGGUGGCCACUUACUAGGUUGGAAAAAUCUUCUUCUUGGCCGUUGGGGUUAUUGUUGCUGGGUACGAACUUGGGCAAUGCAUUGAUUUCUGGCAAAAAUGAGGUCUUCGGUCAACUGGGCAUGUUCUAGCACCUCCACAUACGAGUUGGGUCUC